GCCUACGGGGGGCUGCAGUGGGGAAUCUUGGGCAAUGGGCGAAAGCCUGACCCAGCGACGCCGCGUGGGGGAUGAAGGCCUUCGGGUUGUAAACCCCUGUCAGGAGGGACGAAACCCUCCCGGUCAAUAGCCGGGCGGGGUGACGGUACCUCCAAAGGAAGCCCCGGCUAACUCCGUGCCAGCAGCCGCGGUAAUACGGAGGGGGCUAGCGUUAUUCGGAAUUACUGGGCGUAAAGCGCGCGCAGGUGGCGUGGCAAGUGGUAGGUGAAAGCCCUCGGCUCAACCGAGGAACUGCCUACCAAACUGCUGCGCUUGAGGCUGGGAGGGGGAAGCGGAAUUCCUGGUGUAGCGGUGAAAUGCGUAGAUACCAGGAGGAACACCGGUGGCGAAGGCGGCUUCCUGGACCAGUUCUGACACUCAUGCGCGAAAGCGUGGGGAGCAAACAGGAUUAGAUACCCUUGUAGUC
rnacentral:rRNA from 1 species